rnacentral:lncRNA from 1 species
AAUAAUUUCCUUUAUGAGGUUGAGAUACUUCAUCAGAAACUAAAUUGGGAUAUUGCAUUAUUAUAGAUUAAAGGUGUCUAUGACUCUUGUUAUGGAAGGCUUUAUAGAGACGGGUCACUAAAUGUGGCUCAAAUGUUACUGUAUAUAGGACAUCCCUAUAGUUUUGUAGGAUCCUUUUUGGUUGGUAAGGUUGCAUUUCAAUGCGUCGAUGAUGUAGUUUUACCCACUGGCACUCAAACA